GAGGAAUAUUGGGCAAUGCCCGCAAGGGUGACCCAGCAACGCCGCGUGGAGGAUGAAUGUCGUAAGAUUGUAAACUCCUGUUAGAGGGGAAGAAUAGUACCGGUUGGACCGGUAUAUGACUGUACCCUCAGAGAAAGCCCCGGCUAACUACGUGCCAGCAGCCGCGGUAAUACGUAGGGGGCAAGCGUUGUCCGGAUUUACUGGGUGUAAAGGGCGCGCAGGCGGGAUAAAAAGUCAGUGGUGAAAUCCUACAGCUUAACUGUAGAACUGCCUUUGAUACUUUUAUUCUUGAGUUCGGGAGAGAGAGACGGAAUUCCAGGUGUAGUGGUGAAAUACGUAGAUAUCUGGAAGAACACCAGUUGCGAAGGCGGUCUCUUGAUCCGACACUGACGCUGAGGCGCGAAAGCGUGGGGAGCAAACA
rnacentral:rRNA from 1 species